UCCUUGGUAGUCCAGUGACUAAGACUCCUGCUCCCAAUGCAGGGGGCCCAGGUUCAAUCCCUGGUCAGGGAA